rnacentral:lncRNA from 1 species
UUGCCUCCCAGGUUCCUUUUCUCUCACGCCCUGGGCUGGGUCCUAGGUCCAGCUUUUUGUCCUACUCAAAAGAGUUCCCCAGUGGGGAGAGCCUGUGCUUUCAUGCAGAACUAAAAUUGCCUUGGUGACAAGAAGAAUGAGCAGAAAAACUGAUGGAAUUAGAAAAAUGGUGUCCUAAUAGGCAUCUAAAGAAAACAGAAAGGAGGAAGGACCUUUGUUUCGAUGACAAGCACCAUCUAGUGGCAGCAGGUGAUGACGACAUAAUGUCUCUAAGAAGAAUGAAGAUGAAAGUUUUCGAAUAGGUAGUCCAGGCAUUUCUGGUCGCUUAUAGGCAUGACAUUCUUUGAUUCUAAAACAAGAAGUUGUAUGUAGUAGAAUAAUGCAAUUGAUCGGCCCUGCGUUGAUUAUUGAAAGUAAGGUGCCGAUGUGACCUGCAGAUAGGAUUAUUAGCAUAGAAUUUUCUCAGUAUUUGUGUGACUGACUAGGUCCUUAAAGACUCUGUAUUUAAGUUUCCUCAUUACAUAAAAUAGGAAGAGUGAUGGCUUGUCACCAUAUGUUGUCUGUAAAGCACUGUGUUCAACAAAGAGCAGAAUCCAUAAAUAUAACUAUUAUAUUUGGAUUUUUUCACUAUUGGGAAAAAAGGUGAAAAAUAUUGUUGGAUGUUUCUCCUGGAGUUAUACAAAAUUAUAACAUUCAUAGGCAUUUCAUAUUGGGGCCUAAACAGAAAGGUGGUAGGAGAUAACAUUAUAGCUUGUUACUAUAAACGUCAAAGACUGAUCAGAGAUGUUUGUCAAUAUCAAGUCCUUUUUAAAUAGGUGGUUCAUUGGCGAAAGUCUGACCAACAUGUUGCUACACAGAAUAGAGAUUUUCUUUGUGCUGAUAUUUGUUUGGACUUGUAGUUGUUUGCAACAGAAUGAUCAUUAAAG